rnacentral:rRNA from 3 species
CAUCCUCCAAGGCUAAAUACUCCUGACUGACCGAUAGUGAACCAGUACCGUGAGGGAAAGGCGAAAAGAACCCCGGCGAGGGGAGUGAAAAAGAACCUGAAACCGUGUACGUACAAGCAGUGGGAGCACCCUUCGGGGUGUGACUGCGUACCUUUUGUAUAAUGGGUCAGCGACUUAUAUUCUGUAGCAAGGUUAACCGUAUAGGGGAGCCGGAGGGAAACCGAGUCUUAAUUGGGCGUUAAGUUGCAGGGUAUAGACCCGAAACCCGGUGAUCUAGCCAUGGGCAGGUUGAAGGUUGGGUAACACUAACUGGAGGACCGAACCGAC